UUUGCUGGAAGCACUUGCAAUGUCGAAUGUAUGUCGGGAACACGUCUUGUAGGUAUUGAAAUCAGUUCCUGCAUGGAAGUUGGACUUUGGGAUUAUGAGCUCCCUCGUUGUGAAAGAGUUGAAUGUCCACCGCGUGGAACUAUCGAUGGAGGAGUUGUGUCUUGCAGCAACAAAGGAUUUGUCGGCAGCAUUUGCUUAUCGCGUUGUAAUAUGGGUUCGGCAAUGAGUG